rnacentral:lncRNA from 1 species
AGGGAGCUCAGAAGGGGUCAAAAAGGCACCAGAAGGAGGGAAAACAUGCAGCCCGGGCGUCCAGAAGCGCAGUUGAAGCGAGAGAAAUCGACGUUCGUCGCCCGGCGGUGGCCCUGGACGCCCGGGCGGCGGGGCUCCGUAGCCUGGGCGUCUAACUCUGACGCCUAGGCCUUACAUGACCCUCAAUUGACGCCCGGGCGGCCCCUCUGCAAUGCUUGAGCAAGAAUUCAUGUGGAUCGGGCCCUGUUUCUUCACUGUUUUGAUUCUUUUGGACUGGGCCUCACUCUGGCACGACUCUGACACUAUUUAAAGGACCCUGGGG